rnacentral:rRNA from 1 species
UACGUAGGGGGCGAGCGUUGUCCGGAUUCAUUGGGCGUAAAGCGUGCGCAGGCGGUUCUCCAAGUCCGUUGUGAAAGCCCCGGGCUCAACCUGGGAAUGGCAGUGGAAACUAGGGGACUGGAAUCUGGCAGAGGGGGGUGGAAUGCCGCGUGUAGCAGUGAAAUGCGUAGAGAUGCGGCGGAACACCGAUGGCGAAGGCAGCCCCCUGGGCUGAGAUUGACGCUCAGGCACGAAAGCGUGGGGAGCAAACAGG